rnacentral:tRNA from 1 species
GAGCGAGUAACUCAGUAGGGAGAGUAAGGUUCUCAUCUUUUAAUGAUACGUCAUGUUCUGGCGGGAUCGUUGAGAAUGGACCUGGUCGAAGGUUCAAUUCCUUCCUUGCCUC